AAAUAAAUAUGUCUCCGAGCCUGGUGACCUAAGCCUAAAGUAUGGUUGCCCGGCCGUUAGGGUGCAUGGGGAAACCGGUGUGCCUCCCAUUGCGGAAAGGAGAAUGCGAACUUUAUCU
rnacentral:ncRNA from 2 species